CCAGUCAGCUUCCCGCUUCCAGAGGCCGAUUGUUUCCCCGAUGCGACUGUGUGCAUCCCUGACAGAAUUCCGGAAGGCGCCAUUUCCGAGGCAACAGCGAGGAGAAGGCCAAGUCACAGGCAUGAGGUAGUCCCCCAAACGUUCGUCAGGUACUACAGCGCGCAAUGCUCCAAGAAAUUCCACACCACCAUCGACAUCGACGGGGAUGUGGUGGUGGACAAAAGUUCGUAUAUGACCCUCGUGUCCUGGCCAACUAUUAAGAAGGCCGUUUUCGGCUUCCCAAGGAACAGCUAAAGCCCCAGAAAACAGUGGUAAAGGACCGUCAAGGGAACCUCAUCCCUGUCCUGGGGAGGGGGUCCUUCUAAAUUAAAUUUAAAAGUUUUGUCGGGUGAACGGAGACCUGCCAAACCUUCCCCACUGAGAAUGGUUCGAUGCCCUGGGUCUGGAAGUGACUGCCAUCCUCGCCUACCAAGACGACAGCAUCGAGGAGGAGCCGGUCACGGCAUUCGCGGACGUCUUCGGUGGGAGUCGAGAAAGCGGACCGGAUUGACAUCAUCGUUCCUUGGCUUCACUCUCCAUUAGCAUAUGCAACAGUCUUCCUCCUCGACUUACAACAUUUCGCUUAGAGACCGUUGGAAGUUACAACGGCACGGAGAAAAAAGGGACUUGUGACCAACGUUUCAUACCUAACAACCAUUGCAGCAUCCCCAGCAAGCCAAAUUCACUUAAACCACCGACCCUGGCCACCAGAUUUCUAAUAUUCCCUGAAUUGAAUUGAAAAAAGCCCCCCUAUUGAAUUCUGGGAGUUGAAGCUCAUGCGCCUGGCUAGGAGAUUCUGGGAGUUGAAGUCCACCCAUCUUCACGUGGCCAAGCUUGAAAAAGACAGCAUGUGACAGGGAGGCUGAAGCUUUGUGAGUUUGCUUUGUGGUCCUCCCAGGCAUGAGCUGAACAUCUAAAACCGGGUUUUGCAACCUUGGCAAUUUGAAGAUGGCUCUCUGGGGAAUCCUGGGGGUUGAAGCCCACCUGUGUAACAUUGUCACGGUUGCCAAACACGGGUCUAGAAUCGCCCUGUGUUGCUUCUAAUGCCCCUUCCCUCCUCCCCUAAGGAUCCCCUAAUCCUCUAAGAAUCGGGCGCAUCUGUUUCUCGAAUCCCAGACGGGCUGACUGGCAUCGCUGCCUCCCCACAUGUCUGUUUAUCCGCAAACUGUCCUUCUAGAGGUUGGGGGGAGGAUUGUGUUUUAGGGGAACGGGGUGCUUUUUUUUGAGUUACGGGGGUGCAGCCUCCCUCUGGCCACACGUGGAUAAGGAGGCAUCUGCUGUUUUUCGCCACCCGGGUUCCAGAGGCCCUUUCCCCAUCAUCCCCGUCAUGUCGUGGCUAAUAAAUGUUCAAUAAACAUGUCA
rnacentral:lncRNA from 1 species